rnacentral:rRNA from 1 species
AUUGAACGCUGGCGGAAUGCUUUACACAUGCAAGUCGAACGGUAACAGGUCUUCGGAUGCUGACGAGUGGCGAACGGGUGAGUAAUAUAUCGGAACGUGCCCAGUCGUGGGGGAUAACGUAGCGAAAGUUACGCUAAUACCGCAUACGAUCUAUGGAUGAAAGCGGGGGAUCGCAAGACCUCGCGCGAUUGGAGCGGCCGAUAUCAGAUUAGGUAGUUGGUGGGGUAAAGGCUCACCAAGCCAACGAUCUGUUGCUGGUCUGAGAGGACGACCAGCCACACUGGAACUGAGACACGGUCCAGACUCCUACGGGAGGCAGCAGUGGGGAAUUUUGGACAAUGGACGCAAGUCUGAUCCAGCCAUUCCGCGUGCAGGAUGAAGGCCCUCGGGUUGUAAACUGCUUUUGUACGGAACGAAAAGGUCUCUCCUAAUACGAGGGGCUCAUGACGGUACCGUAAGAAUAAGCACCGGCUAACUACGUGCCAGCCGCCGCCGUAAAAC